ensembl:lncRNA
AGUUGCUCGUCCAAUCACACGCGUCGUCUCGCAAGAACCGCGCGAUACACGAACAGACAAAGAAGUCGUCUUUGUUACAUGAGUUUCUACAAUGGCGGCCCGGUAUUACCAGUCCGACUCACCACAAACUCCUCGCAUAGAACAGCCUGGACAUGACCGACUGGUUCCAGUCAGACCCGCGACAGACACUGAGAAGAAACUGUUGAGUGUUAUCAGCGGGCUGUCUGGCCAGAGAGCACCGCCAGAGGAGAAGCUCUAGCAGAAGUUGGAGCGGUGUCAGAGCUGCAGGAGGGGAUGGCCGCCAUGGAAGCCAAAUUAAACACUUUCUCCAGCGGCGAGGAAAUUCAGCGGAAAAGAGGAGAGCACAGUCCUAAAAUUGCGGUUUCCCAGAGACUAUGGGUUGAGGAGGAAUUGGAAGUUUGUCGGCUUAGACCUGGUGUCAUUCCAUCAGUGUUUAACUUCCCGGCUCAUCUUGGAAGAGUAUGUGCCAGAAAGAUCACGACCAAACAACCUUGAGAUCUUAGACAGCGUCUCCCUCAGGUGGGUGUCAGUGGUGUUCACAGUCAGGUCUGUGGUAAUCCUGUCAAAAAACAAAACAGAAAAAAGUCUAGAUUAUAAAUCAACAUGUAACCAAAGCACUCUGUGUAUAACGCCAUAGUAUAGGAUGUAGUUCAGAAAAUGUCAAAGUAUAGUAUACUUUACUCAAGAAUAACAUAGUAUGGCCUGUAGUUCAUAGUAUAGCAUGUUGGCAAGAAAAAAAAAACAAAACAUAGAUUAUUAUGUGGAUCAAAAAGUGCAAAAUGAUAGGAUGUUGCCUAAAAUUGUCAUGUAUGAUAUGUGGUUCAAAAAAUGUCAUAGUGCAAUAUAUUGUCAAAAUAGUAUGUUAUUCAAGAAAACAUUAGAGUAUAAUGUCAUCUAAAAAAUGCCAUAGAAUAAUAUUUCAUUGCACAAGUAAAAGUAUAGUGAGUUUUAAAACUGUUCAAAUUCUUAUAAUAUGUUGCUAAAAAACAACAAAAAAAACUAAAACAAAAAAAGUCACAGUAAUAUGUCAAUUAAAAAAGCCUAUAGUAUAGCGUGUCGCCCAACAAACAUCAUAGUAUAGCAUGUCGCUCUAAAAACAUCACAGUAUAGCCUUUAGUCCACAGCUGUCAGUAGGUGAGGAGCAACACAAAAAAAGUCCAAACGCUGGUUUCCAGAGGGUUAGACGAGAAUUUAUUUGAAAGAGUAAGUUUACAACAACACAACAUGUGAGGGGGUUAAAAACAAAUGGGUGUUAGUAAAAUAAAAAUAAAUUAACAGAACUAAAAGUGAACUUCAUGUUGACAUUGAUGUUCAUUCCAACCAGGAACAAAGUAAAAGAUAAUCAAUACGAAAAAAAACUCUUCCUGUUCACCUCUUAAAACCCAAAAACACACCGCAGUAGCAUUCUAAACUAAAACUACCAAUGGGUUCCCUGUUUUCCUUUCUGAGCAAUUCAAAGGUCCCUCUCUAUCUCCCCACACAUCCACCAACCACUGGAACACAUCUCCAAAAUUCUGCCGGGCCAG